CCUCCCCUGCGGGGUGAGGAGGGCCAGUCUUGCCUUGGGGCUUAACUGCUCUCUGAAAUGAAUUGGAAGUGGGACACAGAGCCUCCACAUGCCUUUGAAUAUGGUGCUCUUGGGGUUCAAAGUGCUUGUAUCCACCAGGAGCAGACAGGGAGAUCCCUGAAGGCAGCUUGCCUGGGACUUCACCCUGGACCCUGCUGUGUAGGCGAGUCCCCCACACCCCCAAGGCAGAAGGCGAGGGUAUCUUUUCUUCACAAUUACAAAGACACUGUGCAGGCUCAGUGACGUGGCUCCUACAUCUUUGCUACUUGCUACUCUGAGACUCUCCACGGCUCCAAGAAGAGCAGCAGCAGCAGCAGCAGCAGCAGCAGCAGCAGCAGCAGCAGCAGCAGCAGCAGCAGCAGCAGCAGCAGCGCCCUGUCUUGAGCACAGUUGGUGGAUGGACUGUGCUCAGGGCCUGUGUACACAGUGCCCCUCCCCCCCCACUCUUUCUAUCUGGAAAAGCCUGGAACACAGCUGUACCACAUAA